AACGAACGCUGGCGGCAGGCCUAACACAUGCAAGUCGAGCGCCCCGCAAGGGGAGCGGCGGACGGGUGAGUAACGCGUGGGAACGUGCCCUUUGCUACGGAAUAGCCCCGGGAAACUAGGAGUAAUACCGUAUAAGCCCUACGGGGGAAAGAUUUAUCGGCAAAGGAUCGGCCCGCGUUGGAUUAGGUAGUUGGUGGGGUAAUGGCCUACCAAGCCGACGAUCCAUAGCUGGUUUGAGAGGAUGAUCAGCCACACUGGGACUGAGACACGGCCCAGACUCCUACGGGAGGCAGCAGUGGGGAAUCUUAGACAAAGGGCGCAAGCCUGAUCUAGCCAUGCCGCGUGAGCGAUGAAGGCCUUAGGGUUGUAAGGCUCUUUCGUGGGGGAAGAUAAUGACUGUACCCCAAGAAGAAGCCCCGGCUAACUCCGUGCCAGCCGCCGCCGUAAAAC
rnacentral:rRNA from 1 species